GACGAACGCUGGCGGCGUGCUUAACACAUGCAAGUCGAACGGAAAGGCCCUGCUUUUGUGGGGUGCUCGAGUGGCGAACGGGUGAGUAACACGUGAGUAACCUGCCCUUGACUUUGGGAUAACUUCAGGAAACUGGGGCUAAUACCGGAUAGGAGCUCCUGCUGCAUGGUGGGGGUUGGAAAGUUUCGGCGGUUGGGGAUGGACUCGCGGCUUAUCAGCUUGUUGGUGGGGUAGUGGCUUACCAAGGCUUUGACGGGUAGCCGGCCUGAGAGGGUGACCGGCCACAUUGGGACUGAGAUACGGCCCAGACUCCUACGGGAGGCAGCAGUGGGGAAUAUGGCACAAUGGGCGGAAGCCUGAUGCAGCAACGCCGCGGGCGGGAUGACGGCCUUCGGGUUGUAAACCGCUUUCGCCUGUGACGAAGCGUGAGUGACGGUAAUGGGUAAAGAAGCACCGGCUAACUACGUG
rnacentral:rRNA from 1 species